rnacentral:rRNA from 1 species
UACAGAGGGGGCAAGCGUUGUUCGGAAUUACUGGGCGUAAAGGGCGCGUAGGCGGCCCGCUAAGUCGAACGUGAAAUCCCCAGGCUCAACCUGGGAACUGCGUCCGAUACUGGCAGGCUUGAAUCCGGGAGAGGGAUGUGGAAUUCCAGGUGUAGCGGUGAAAUGCGUAGAUAUCUGGAGGAACACCGGUGGCGAAGGCGGCAUCCUGGACCGGUAUUGACGCUGAGGCGCGAAAGCCAGGGGAGCAAACGGG